ACAUGGACAUGAGGUCCCAGGCUCUCCUCCUCUUUUUCCUGUUGCUGUGGAUCUCAGAUGCCCGAGGGGCCAUUGGGCUAAUCCAGUCGCCAGCCUCCCUGUCUGUGUCUCCAGGAGAGAGAGUGACCAUGUCCUGCAGGGCCAGUCAGGGCAUUAACAAUAAUCUGCACUGGUUCCAACAGAAAGCAAGCCAGGCUCCUAGGCUCAUCAUUAAAUAUGCUUCCACCCUGCAUGAUGGGGUCCCAUCGAGGUUCAGUGGCAGUGGCUCUGGGACAGAUUUCUCCCUCACAAUCAGCAAUGUGGAGGCUGAGGAAGCUGCAGUCUAUUACUGUCAGCAGAGGCAAAACUGGCCUCCCACAGUGCUACAGCUCUGAACAACAACCUGCCCAGGCAGC